CAGAGAGUUUGCAGCCAGCAGAGAGCCGCCAGGAGAGAUACUAACCAGAGAUAAAUUGAUUAGUUUCACAUGGCCCCACAGGUACUGCAACUAACUCCAGAGACCAGCUGGAGCAGCUCGAGGACCGCCUUGGUCAGAGAGUACUUGGGGGCAGAGUGGAGCCACUGAGGUCAAAGUACCCUCCAGUGCCAUGUGGCUCUACCAUGCGGGAUAAAAGGCUCUGCCUUUUUAAAUAUUUACCGCAGUAGAUGGGGAACCAAUGUGUUAGGCAAGAAUCCACUAAAAAUUGAAGAUUUUCAGCCUGAGAAAGUGUAAUUUUCUAAGAGGGGGCCAAUGCCCUGUUACAUCACGUGAUGUCACAAGCACAGGAACCUUAAACAAAAGGGACACAGAGGCAGCCUGCUUACAGGCCCUAGGACCCCUGCUGUGAAAAGUGUAGGCUGCCCUGAACACAGAGUUGCAGAAGACCCCACGGGUGCUGCAAGAGACCAGCUGGAACGGCUCGAGGACCGCCCGGGUCAGAGAGUACUUGGGCAGUGUGGAGCUGCUGAGAUGAAAGUAUCCCACAGUGCCAUGGGCCUAUGGGUGCCAGCGCUAGCCCAGGAUAAAAAGGAACACCAGAGACCCCUCAUUAGACUGGUGAUUGGGUCUCAUCCGGAGGAAUUGGGCACAGUUCUGGAACCCUGGUGGAAGGGAUCUUUCCUGAGGUUGUUAACCACUGUCAGAGCCCUCAAAGGUGGACGGUAUUGCUGCCUGGGUGCUCGUGUCCCAUAUGAAGCCUGCAGAUGCCCUGCUCCCCGGGACUCCCACUGGUUGCUUCCUUGUGCCGGUUUGUCAAACCUGGUCUGUGGUUUCCACUGGAACUGGAGAUGAGUUUGCCUCCUUGAUGGACUCCAAACCCUUCAACACCUGGUGGCCUGACUUCACUUUCAACCUGUGCCAGCAGGCAGCAGGACUUGACUGCUGGGACAUCCCCACCCAUGAUGGGAGCACUGGCGGAAGCAAACUGCACAUAUGGGAGAAAGAGGGCUCUGGGCUGGGGUUAGGGGGUGGGCUGUAGGAUGUGCAUUCCCUGCACAGAUAUCGCCUGCAGGAGACCCCACUUAAGUUUGCCCUCGAGAUGGAAGAAGCCGGGCAGAAGUUCACCGAUGUGGGGGUCCAGACUAGUUUUAUUGACCAGCCUGGGAAUGCCACACUACAGGAGACACCUACUGGAACCCCUCCUCUUCUUGGGACUUGAUCAUGGAAAAAAAUUAUACUAUAGGGGGACCCUAUCUGGGGGACCAAGGGUAUUGGGAUACUCCCUGGGCAAACACCACCUGUAACCCAAUAAUAAUCAGAUUCACUCAGAAAGGCAAAGAAGCAACAGGAUGGCUAAAGGGAAAAACUUGGGGACUCAGGUUGUACAAAUUGGGGUAUGAUGAUGGCCAAGGUGAGAAAAGGGAUAGCCAAACAGAAAAAGAGAAAGAGAGCAGUCAGAGCUGGUUCGAGUCUUGGUUUAACUCGUCUCCUUGGCUAACCACCCUCAUAUCCACCUUGUUAAGACCCCCUCUUUGUUCUGCUAUUGUUGACCUUUGGACCCCGCAUAUUGAACAAGUUUAUAGCCUUCAUAAAAGAGAGAAUGGGGAGCAGUGCAGCUGAUGGUCCUGCACCAAUAAUAUGAGACCCUGAGGACAGGACCUGAAGAAUAUGAGUUAGUCAUCAGAGGCCCCUGAGUGUAGCUCCAAGAUUAGAGCUUGUACAAGAAAAAGGGACCCUUAGGGCUUUCACCAGCCUUACACCCACCUGCCUUGGGACAAGGCUAGGCCAAGUUCCAUUGUCCACCCACAGGAAUAUUCUUCAGUAAAAAAAGUUCUCAGAAUGUACUGACCAAUGCUUGCUAGCCAAUAGAUUUAAAGGUCAAUAUGAUUAGCCAAUAAGUUUAAACUGUAACCUUACUGAUAUAACCUGUGCUCCUGAAAAGUAUAAAAACUGCUUGCUAGAGUCAUUCGGGAUCACCUUCUAGUCACUCGACACGAGGGACUGAUUGAAGGUUGACCCCGACACACCAGAAAAUAAACCUCUUUUACAUCGAUCUGCUUCUUGGUGUCUCACUCAUGGGUGUCUUGAAGUAAGUACCACUGACCGAGGGUUGAGGUCUUACGGCAUGACAAUAUAUGGCUGAAUCACAGCAUUUGAGAGGAAGAUUGGGAAUUCAAGGUCCUCCUCUGCUUCUUAGUGAGUUCAAGGCUAACUUGACCUUCUUGUGACCCUGACUCAAAAACAAACAGGCCUGCCAGAGUCGG
ensembl:lncRNA